GGUUAAGCGACUAAGCGUACACGGUGGAUGCCCUGGCAGUCAGAGGCGAUGAAGGGCGUACUAAUCUGCGAUAAGCGCCGGUAAGGUGAUAUGAACCGUUAUAACCGGCGAUACCCGAAUGGGGAAACCCAGUGUGAUUCGUCACACUAUCAUUAACUGAAUCCAUAGGUUAAUGAGGCGAACCGGGGGAACUGAAACAUCUAAGUACCCCGAGGAAAAGAAAUCAACCGAGAUUCCCCCAGUAGCGGCGAGCGAACGGGGAGGAGCCCAGAGCCUGAAUCAGCAUGUGUGUUAGUGGAAGCGUCUGGAAAGGCGCGCGAUACAGGGUGACAGCCCCGUACACAAAAGCGCAUGUGCUGUGAGCUCGAUGAGUAGGGCGGGACACGUGGUAUCCUGUCUGAAUAUGGGGGGACCAUCCUCCAAGGCUAAAUACUCCUGACUGACCGAUAGUGAACCAGUACCGUGAGGGAAAGGCGAAAAGAACCCCGGCGAGGGGAGUGAAAAAGAACCUGAAACCGUGUACGUACAAGCAGUGGGAGCACAGGUUUACCUGUGUGACUGCGUACCUUUUGUAUAAUGGGUCAGCGACUUAUAUUCUGUAGCAAGGUUAACCGAAUAGGGGAGCCGGAGGGAAACCGAGUCUUAAUUGGGCGUUAAGUUGCAGGGUAUAGACCCGAAACCCGGUGAUCUAGCCAUGGGCAGGUUGAAGGUUGGGUAACACUAACUGGAGGACCGAACCGACUAAUGUUGAAAAAUUAGCGGAUGACCUGUGGCUGGGGGUGAAAGGCCAAUCAAACCGGGAGAUAGCUGGUUCUCCCCGAAAGCUAUUUAGGUAGCGCCUCGUGAAUUCAUCUCCGGGGGUAGAGCACUGUUUCGGCUAGGGGGCCAUCCCGGCUUACCAACCCGAUGCAAACUGCGAAUACCGGAGAAUGUUAUCACGGGAGACACACGGCGGGUGCUAACGUCCGUCGUGAAGAGGGAAACAACCCAGACCGCCAGCUAAGGUCCCAAAGUCAUGGUUAAGUGGGAAACGAUGUGGGAAGGCCCAGACAGCCAGGAUGUUGGCUUAGAAGCAGCCAUCAUUUAAAGAAAGCGUAAUAGCUCACUGGUCGAGUCGGCCUGCGCGGAAGAUGUAACGGGGCUAAACCAUGCACCGAAGCUGCGGCAGCGACGCUUAUGCGUUGUUGGGUAGGGGAGCGUUCUGUAAGCCUGCGAAGGUGGCCUGUGAGGGUUGCUGGAGGUAUCAGAAGUGCGAAUGCUGACAUAAGUAACGAUAAAGCGGGUGAAAAGCCCGCUCGCCGGAAGACCAAGGGUUCCUGUCCAACGUUAAUCGGGGCAGGGUGAGUCGACCCCUAAGGCGAGGCCGAAAGGCGUAGUCGAUGGGAAACGGGUUAAUAUUCCCGUACUUGGUGUUACUGCGAAGGGGGGACGGAGAAGGCUAUGUUGGCCGGGCGACGGUUGUCCCGGUUUAAGCGUGUAGGUGUGUGUUCCAGGUAAAUCCGGUUCACUUUAACACUGAGGCGUGACGACGAGGCACUACGGUGCUGAAGCAACAAAUGCCCUGCUUCCAGGAAAAGCCUCUAAGCAUCAGGUAACAUCAAAUCGUACCCCAAACCGACACAGGUGGUCAGGUAGAGAAUACCAAGGCGCUUGAGAGAACUCGGGUGAAGGAACUAGGCAAAAUGGUGCCGUAACUUCGGGAGAAGGCACGCUGACACGUAGGUGAAGUGAUUUACUCAUGGAGCUGAAGUCAGUCGAAGAUACCAGCUGGCUGCAACUGUUUAUUAAAAACACAGCACUGUGCAAACACGAAAGUGGACGUAUACGGUGUGACGCCUGCCCGGUGCCGGAAGGUUAAUUGAUGGGGUCAGCGCAAGCGAAGCUCCUGAUCGAAGCCCCGGUAAACGGCGGCCGUAACUAUAACGGUCCUAAGGUAGCGAAAUUCCUUGUCGGGUAAGUUCCGACCUGCACGAAUGGCGUAAUGAUGGCCAGGCUGUCUCCACCCGAGACUCAGUGAAAUUGAACUCGCUGUGAAGAUGCAGUGUACCCGCGGCAAGACGGAAAGACCCCGUGAACCUUUACUAUAGCUUGACACUGAACAUUGAGCCUUGAUGUGUAGGAUAGGUGGGAGGCUUUGAAGUGUGGACGCCAGUCUGCAUGGAGCCGACCUUGAAAUACCACCCUUUAAUGUUUGAUGUUCUAACGUGGACCCGUUACCCGGGUUGCGGACAGUGUCUGGUGGGUAGUUUGACUGGGGCGGUCUCCUCCUAAAGAGUAACGGAGGAGCACGAAGGUUGGCUAAUCCUGGUCGGACAUCAGGAGGUUAGUGCAAUGGCAUAAGCCAGCUUGACUGCGAGCGUGACGGCGCGAGCAGGUGCGAAAGCAGGUCAUAGUGAUCCGGUGGUUCUGAAUGGAAGGGCCAUCGCUCAACGGAUAAAAGGUACUCCGGGGAUAACAGGCUGAUACCGCCCAAGAGUUCAUAUCGACGGCGGUGUUUGGCACCUCGAUGUCGGCUCAUCACAUCCUGGGGCUGAAGUAGGUCCCAAGGGUAUGGCUGUUCGCCAUUUAAAGUGGUACGCGAGCUGGGUUUAGAACGUCGUGAGACAGUUCGGUCCCUAUCUGCCGUGGGCGCUGGAGAACUGAGGGGGGCUGCUCCUAGUACGAGAGGACCGGAGUGGACGCAUCACUGGUGUUCGGGUUGUCAUGCCAAUGGCACUGCCCGGUAGCUAAAUGCGGAAGAGAUAAGUGCUGAAAGCAUCUAAGCACGAAACUUGCCCCGAGAUGAGUUCUCCCUGAGACUUAAAGUCUCCUGAAGGAACGUUGAAGACGACGACGUUGAUAGGCCGGGUGUGUAAGCGCAGCGAUGCGUUGAGCUAACCGGUACUAAUGAACCGUGAGGCUUAACCUUACAACGCCGAAGAUGUUUUG
rnacentral:rRNA from 1 species